rnacentral:lncRNA from 1 species
GCAAGUGACCUUUCCACAGCAUGAAAGCCACGUGUGUGUCUGGACCACGCAUCAAGCUUGGGACCUAGUUAUCAGCACAUUAACCAGCAAAAGCAUGAAUUUAAAUCUGGCGAUCCGACACCAUGAUCUGGACAUAAACUUUUCCACUUAUGUCAUGCAGAGGAGGACUCCCUACAAACGUAACAAAGCCCCGUGGUUUCCUGUCCCUCUUCCUAGGUCCUUUUCUAAAGAUGCCCAGCUAGCAUUCCUCUCAUCGGGGUUUGAACUGCUUUUAACUUCUACGUACUAGGCCUUCUUCUCCAUGUCCCGUGUUGGGUCUCUUCGGUCUGUAGGGCGAGGCUCUGUGGGUGCAACCAGGUGAGAAGCUAGACCUGUGUCUGUGCUGGAAGACGAGCUUCCUCCUCCCAGGACGGGGCAGCUGUACCUGCCAAAGCAGGCCUGCCAGCCACUUGCAGCAUGUUGCUCUGUGACUCGAGGCGACGAAAAUCCAGACACAUUAAGUUCAUUUUCAAGAUGAUUGGGUUAUUAUUUUUUUUUUAUGGGAUCAUGGAAGGCAGUGCAUCGAGGCAGAAGGGUAAAAAGAAAGAAGUGGAGAGAUGAGGCAAAGAUGGGCAGGGUCUGCACGUCGUCCUCCCGGACGCAUGGUUGUGCAGGAGAACAGCCCGCUGGCCUGAUUUCACGGCCCUUUAAUUCUACUGAAGUCGGGUGCCCAGAUGCAGCACAACUUUUGGGUGUGUCUGUGACGGUGUUUCCAGGUGACGGGAGCGUGGGAACUGGAGCACUGAGUGCAGCACCUUGCCCUCCCCCUCUCCUGUGCUGGGGGGACCUCAUCAAAUCCACGGGAGAAUGGGGAAAGGAUGAAUCAGAUGGAGGAAGGGGGGCUCUAUCCUUGCUCCCUGACUGCCGAGCUAGGACACCAGUCUCCCGGCCUGUCUCUCAAAAGCACACCACCCCCAGCUUCCCCGGGGCUGCAGCUUCAGGCGGCCGAUGCUGA